UACGAGAGGCCCAACCGUUAUUCGGAAUUACUGGGCUUAAAGAGUUCGUAGGCGGCAUGAAAAGUAGGGUGUGAAAGCCCUCGGCUCAACCGAGGAAUUGCGCUCUAAACUGUCGUGCUCGAGGAAUCUAGAGGUGAGCGGAACUGAUGGUGGAGCGGUGAAAUGCGUUGAUAUCAUCAGGAACACCGGAGGCGAAGGCGGCUCACUGGGGAUUUUCUGACGCUGAGGAACGAAAGCCAGGGGAGCGAACGGG
rnacentral:rRNA from 1 species